rnacentral:lncRNA from 1 species
GCUGACUAUGUUCCACAUGGAGGAGAGUUUUCAUCUUGGUUCGUUCAAGGAUUGAGGAAAGGAUUUUGAGUGAAGAAGGACACACUGACAGCAUUCAAACUCGGAAGGAAAGAGUCCCCAUGAGGUGGGGAACUGAAGAAGGAAUGGACAUUUCAGCAACUGAAGCAAUCAAGGGAGGAAAAGGUUAUAUCCAUGUAACUGCACAUCUGACACCACUGCAG